AUUGAACGCUGGCGGCAUGCCUUACACAUGCAAGUCGAACGGCAGCACGGGUGCUUGCACCUGGUGGCGAGUGGCGAACGGGUGAGUAAUACAUCGGAACGUACCUUAUCGUGGGGGAUAACGCAGCGAAAGCUGUGCUAAUACCGCAUACGCCCUGAGGGGGAAAGCGGGGGAUCGCAAGACCUCGCGCGAUUAGAGCGGCCGAUGCCUGAUUAGCUAGUUGGUGGGGUAAAAGCCCACCAAGGCGACGAUCAGUAGCUGGUCUGAGAGGACGAGCAGCCACACUGGGACUAAGACACGGCCCAGACUCCUACGGGAGGCAGCAGUGGGGAAUGUUGGACAAUGGGGGCAACCCUGAUCCAGCAAUGCCGCGUGAGUGAAGAAGGCCUUCGGGUUGUAAAGCUCUUUUGUCAGGGAAGAAACACCGGCUCUAACACAGUCCGGGAAUGACGGUACCUGAAGAAUAGGCACCGGCUAACUACGUGCCAGCCGCCGCCGUAA
rnacentral:rRNA from 1 species